rnacentral:rRNA from 1 species
UGGAGGCAGCAGUAGGGAAUAUUGCACAAUGGGCGAAAGCCUGAUGCAGCAACGCCGCGUGCGCGAUGAAGGCCUUCGGGUUGUAAAGCGCUUUUCGGGGAGAUGAGGAAGGACAGUAUCCCCGGAAUAAGGCUCGGCUAACUACGUGCCAGCAGCCGCGGUAAAACGUAGGAGCCAAGCGUUAUCCGAAUUCACUGGGCGUAAAGCGUGUGCAGGCGGACCGGUAAGUUGGAUGUGAAAUCUCCUGGCUCAACUGGGAGAGGCCGUUCAAUACUGUCGGACUAGAGGGCAACAGAGGGAGGUAGAAUUCCGGGUGUAGUGGUGAAAUGCGUAGAUAUCCGGAGGAAUACCAGUGGCGAAGGCGACCUCCUGGGUUGCACCUGACGCUCAGACACGAAAGCUAGGGUAGCGAACGGGAUUAGAUACCCGAGU